rnacentral:rRNA from 1 species
AUUGAACGCUGGCGGCAGGCUUAACACAUGCAAGUCGAGCGAGCGGCGGACGGGUGAGUAAUGUCUGGGAAACUGCCUGAUGGAGGGGGAUAACUACUGGAAACGGUAGCUAAUACCGCAUACCAUCAGAUGUGCCCAGAUGGGAUUAGCGGGUAGGUGGGGUAAGGGCUAACCUAGGCGAAGAUCCCUAGCUGGUCUGAGAGGAUGACCAGCCACACUGGAACUUAGACACGGUCCGUACUCCUACGGGAGGCAGCAGUGUGGAAUAUUGCACAAUGGGCGCAAUCCUGAUGCAGCCAUGCCGCGUGUGUGACGAAGGCCUUCGGGUUGUAAAGCACUUUCAGCGAGGAGGCGUUACUCGCAGAAGAAGCACCGGCUAACUCCGUGCCAGCAGCCGCGGUAAUAC